GAUGAACGUUGGCGGCGUGCUUAACACAUGCAAGUCGAACGAAGCACUUUAUUUGAUUUCCUUCGGGACUGAUUAUUUUGUGACUGAGUGGCGGACGGGUGAGUAACGCGUGGGUAACCUGCCUUGUACAGGGGGAUAACAGUUGGAAACGGCUGCUAAUACCGCAUAAGCGCACAGCAUCGCAUGAUGCAGUGUGAAAAACUCCGGUGGUAUAAGAUGGACCCGCGUUGGAUUAGCUAGUUGGUGAGGUAACGGCCCACCAAGGCGACGAUCCAUAGCCGACCUGAGAGGGUGACCGGCCACAUUGGGACUGAGACACGGCCCAAACUCCUACGGGAGGCAGCAGUGGGGAAUAUUGCACAAUGGGCGAAAGCCUGAUGCAGCGACGCCGCGUGAGCGAAGAAGUAUUUCGGUAUGUAAAGCUCUAUCAGCAGGGAAGAUAAUGACGGUACCUGACUAAGAAGCACCGGCUAAAUACGUGCCAGCAGCCGCGGUAAUACGUAUGGUGCAAGCGUUAUCCGGAUUUACUGGGUGUAAAGGGAGCGCAGGCGGUGCGGCAAGUCUGAUGUGAAAGCCCGGGGCCCAACCCCGGUACUGCAUUGGAAACUGUCGUACUAGAGUGUCGGAGGGGUAAGCGGAAUUCCUAGUGUAGCGGUGAAAUGCGUAGAUAUUAGGAGGAACACCAGUGGCGAAGGCGGCUUACUGGACGAUAACUGACGCUGAGGCUCGAAAGCGUGGGGAGCAAACAGGAUUAGAUACCCUGGUAGUCCACGCCGUA
rnacentral:rRNA from 1 species